rnacentral:rRNA from 1 species
ACGAACGCUGGCGGCGUGCCUAAUACAUGCAAGUAGAACGCUGAAGGAGGAGCUUGCUCUUCUGGAUGAGUUGCGAACGGGUGAGUAACGCGUAGGUAACCUGCCUGGUAGCGGGGGAUAACUAUUGGAAACGAUAGCUAAUACCGCAUAACAGUAGAUGUUGCAUGACAUUUACUUAAAAGGUGCAAUUGCAUCACUACCAGAUGGACCGGCGUUGUAUUAGCUAGUUGGUGGGGUAACGGCUCACCAAGGCGACGAUACAUAGCCGACCUGAGAGGGUGAUCGGCCACACUGGGACCGAGACACGGCCCAGACUCCUACGGGAGGCAGCAGUAGGGAAUCUUCGGCAAUGGACGGAAGUCUGACCGAGCAACGCCGCGUGAGUGAAGAAGGUUUUCGGAUCGUAAAGCUCUGUUGUAAGAGAAGAACGAGUGUGAGAGUGGAAAGUUCACACUGUGACGGUAUCUUACCAGAAAGGGACGGCUAACUACGUG